GGGUCUGGCGCUUGUCUAUGUUCCUUGGAACAGGACGUCACAGAGGGUGAGAAUCCCGUGCGACGGGCUGCCCAGAUCCGUGUAAAGUUCCUUCGAAGAGUCGAGUUGUUUGGGAAUGCAGCUCUAAGUGGGUGGUAAAUUCCAUCUAAAGCUAAAUAUUGGCGAGAGACCGAUAGCGAACAAGUACAGUGAUGGAAAGAUGAAAAGAACUUUGAAAAGAGAGUGAAAAAGUACGUGAAAUUGUUGAAAGGGAAGGGCAUGCGAUCAGACUUGGUAUUUUGUAUGUCUUGCCUUCGGGCGGGGCCUCUGCAGCUUACUGGGCCAGCAUCGGUUCGGGUGGCAGGACAAUUGCGGAGAAAUGUGGCACGGCCUCGGCUGUGUGUUAUAGUCUCUGUCGAUACUGCCUGCCUGGACCGAGGACUGCGUCUUUACGACUAGGAUGCUGGCAUAAUGAUCGUACGCCGCC
rnacentral:rRNA from 1 species